AUGGACCUAGAGACUGUCACACAGAGUGAAAACAUGUAAGUCUGAAAUGGAGGCAUUGGCAUGUCUGCAGGAGGAUCAAGCUUGCUUCUUUGUGGCUUCUGACACCCCAUUUUAAGCAUCCUUUGGCUUAUAAUUGCCUCACUACAGUCUCUGAUUCUGUUCUCACACACCUUCUCCCCUGUGUCUCGGCAUCACCAUGUUCUUAGAAGGACAUGAGUCACUGGAUUAGGCCCCUUCUUAUCCAGUGUGACCUCCAACUCGAUCACAUCUUCAAAGACCUGAUUUCCAAACAAGGCCACGCUCGCAGGCACUGGGGUGAGAACUUCAGCACACCUUUUGGGACACAUCGUUCUACCCACGACACUUGCACACACAGAGAUCACGUGGGUUGAUCGAAGCGCGCCUGAGUUCUUGAGAUGUUUUUUAAAAGGACACAGCCAGGACUUCCCUGGUGGUCCAGCGGUUAAGAAUCCACCUGCCAGUACGGGGGACAUGGGUUCGAUCCCUGGUCCAGGAAGAUCCCAUGUGCUGCGGGGCAGCUAAGACUAUGCACCACAGCUCCCGAAGCCGGCAAGCCCUACAGCCCAUUCUCCGCAAUAAGACAAGCCUCUGCAAGGAGAAGCCCAUUCCCUGCAACUAGAGAAAUUAGAGAAAUUUCACGGCAAUUAGAGAAAGCCUGUGCACAGCAAUGAAGACCCAGCACAGCCAAAAUUAAAAGCGAAAAAAAAAGAAGGACACAGCCAGGAGACUGAUCUUGGGGAGGAAAAAAGAAAAAAAAUUCCUUUAUUGGUUUUAUGAUCUUUAUGCCUUUGGGUGGAGUGGCUGCCUCCCCAUGGGCAGAAUUUGGGCAGGAGAAGAACACAAACAUCUCUGAUGUCAUAGUGAGCUCAGGCAACCCACUGUGGAAUUUCUUGAGUUUCAGGUAGAGGUUCUCUGCCAGGAAUUUCAAGUCUCAGGCCUGAGAUGCCACAGGAAAAGGCAGCGAGGAGACUGGGGGGGAAGGAGCCCUGGACCCAGAGACUAGGGGCUGUCACCCCGAGGCUGCAUGACCUUCAGCAAGUCACUGUUGCUGCUCCCCUUGGACCCCAGCUCCUUCUGCAGGAAGGAAAUGACACGGCCCCAUCUCUCCUCUCUCGGUGUCACCAUGAGGAUGAGUGGAAAUCUGAGCCCUGGACGCAGCACGCACUUCGCAAAGUGUUGUUUCCAGAUGAAGCAAACCUGACAUCAUAGCAUGACUAAAAGCCUGACACUUAGCAUCUCAUCUGUAGUGGAUCAAGUUUCUUUCCAAUAAAUCAAAUUUUGCAAACUCGAAAAA